rfam:Dipodomys ordii contig_61799, whole genome shotgun sequence.
GGUGGCUCAGUGGUAGAGUGCUUGUCUUGCAUGCAUGAGGCCCUAGGUUCGAUUCCUCAGCACCA